rnacentral:rRNA from 1 species
UACGGAGGGGGCUAGCGUUGUUCGGAAUUACUGGGCGUAAAGGGCGCGUAGGCGGGGUCAUAAGUCUGUGGUGAAAUCCUCCGGCUCAACCGGAGAACUGCCUCGGAUACUGUGGCUCUCGAGGGUGGUAGGGGUAUGCGGAACUAUCGGUGGAGCGGUGAAAUGCGUUGAUAUCGAUAGGAACUCCGGUGGCGAAGGCGGCAUACUGGACCACUUCUGACGCUGAGGCGCGAAAGCCAGGGGAGCAAACGGG